AGUGAACGCUGGCGGUAGGCCUAACACAUGCAAGUCGAACGGCAGCACAGUAAGAGCUUGCUCUUACGGUUGGCGAGUGGCGGACGGGUGAGGAAUACAUCGGAAUCUACUUUUUCGUGGGGGAUAACGUAGGGAAACUUACGCUAAUACCGCAUACGACCUACGGGUGAAAUCAGGGGAUCUUCGGACCUUGCGCGUUUGAAUGAGCCGAUUUCGGAUUAGCUAGUUGGCGGGGUAAAGGCCCACCAAGGCGACGAUCCGUAGCUGGUCUGAGAGGAUGAUCAGCCACACUGGAACUGAGACACGGUCCAGACUCCUACGGGAGGCAGCAGUGGGGAAUAUUGGACAAUGGGCGCAAGCCUGAUCCAGCCAUACCGCGUGAGUGAAGAAGGCCUUCGGGUUGUAAAGCCCUUUUGUUGGGAAAGAAAAGCAGCAGGUUAAUACCCCGCUGUUCUGACGGUACCCAAAGAAUAAGCACCGGCUAACUUCGUG
rnacentral:rRNA from 1 species